CCAAGGGGUUGCUUAGUAGCGGCGAGUGAGCGGCAAAAGCUCAAAUUUGAAAUCUGGCACCUUCGGUGUCCGAGUUGUAAUUUGAAGAUUGUAACCUUGGGGUUGGCUCUUGUCUAUGUUUCUUGGAACAGGACGUCACAGAGGGUGAGAAUCCCGUGCGAUGAGAUGCCCAAUCCUAUGUAAGGUGCUUUCGAAGAGUCGAGUUGUUUGGGAAUGCAGCUCUAAGUGGGUGGUAAAUUCCAUCUAAAGCUAAAUAUUGGCGAGAGACCGAUAGCGAACAAGUACAGUGAUGGAAAGAUGAAAAGAACUUUGAAAAGAGAGUGAAAAAGUACGUGAAAUUGUUGAAAGGGAAGGGUUUGAGAUCAGACUCGAUAUUUUGUGAGCCUUGCCUUCGUGGCGGGGUGACCCGCAGCUUAUCGGGCCAGCAUCGGUUUGGGCGGUAGGAUAAUGGCGUAGGAAUGUGACUUUGCUUCGGUGAAGUGUUAUAGCCUGCGUUGAUGCUGCCUGCCUAGACCGAGGACUGCGAUUUUAUCAAGGAUGCUGGCAUAAUGAUCCCAAACCGCCCGUCUUGAAAAAACGGACCCAAA
rnacentral:rRNA from 1 species